rnacentral:tRNA from 2 species
GCCCAGGUGGCGGAAUUGGUAUACGCGCUGGUCUUAGGAACCAGUGGAGCAAUCCUUGGAGGUUCAAGUCCUCUCCUGGGCACAA